rnacentral:lncRNA from 12 species
AGUAAUCUUUUUUUUUUUUUACUGAUUUAUAGCUUAAUAUCACUGUGAUCUGAGAUCUCUGCCCUUUGAAAUUUGUGGAGACUGGGUGAACCAGUGUAUGGCAAGUUUUGGUAAAUGUUCUUAUGCAUUUGAAAGAGAAUGUGUGUUCUGUUAUUGUUGGGGACUGCCUCCUGUUUUGAGCUUCUCUCCAUAUUUUGUUAUUGUUUUGCCUCUUCCCUCUUUUCAGACUCUAGCAUUGUAUCCUGUAAUGGGACUUCCUGUUGAGUGCUCCCCCACAUCCAACACCAAGGCCACUGAACGCCUCUUUACCAACAUGCCGCCGCCUCCGCUGUUUGCAGACCCGCCGGCUGUGUGACGAGCUUCCUCCACACCCUCCCUGGAUCCUGCAAUGAAUAAACUCUAGCUGUGGAAAGAACAGCAAACACAGGCCCGGUGGCAUCAGAGCCGAGUGAUGGAUGACCUGCGGUCCCAGAACCUCUCCAUGGACAUGACCGACUCCUCUCCCGCCUUGGCCAAUAACAGACUGGAGAAUGGCAUGGCCCAGCUGAUCACCACCGAAGCCUGGAACAUCAACUCCACUGACCUGGAGGCCCCGUGCUCCUCCAGUGCCAUCCACAACAACCUGUUCCAGGGAGCCGAGGACCCCGAGGCCCCACCCCAGCUCCUGGACCUGCGGAUCCCCAGCCAGCCGCAGGAGCCCACGUUGCCAUUUGAAGCCGUGCUCCAGAAUUUGUUCCCCUCACAGGGUGCUCUCGGCCCCCCACCCUGUCAGCCUCCUCCUGGAUACGCCCCGGUGCCCCCCCAGCCCUUUAACUCCCCGCUGUCCCCCCUGGUGCCCCCGGCCACCCUCUUGGUGCCCUACCCUGUGAUCGUGCCCUUGCCCGUGCCGGUCCCCAUCCCCAUCCCCAUCCCGGUGCCUCAGAGUCCUGAAUCCAAGCUCGGCUCCAGUUUCCCCAAGCCGCCUCUUCUUCGGCCUGCACCCCUUUAAAGGCGGCCAGCCCCCCCUGGAGAAGGAGGAACUGAAGCCCUUCUAUCUCCUCCAGCCGAGGGAGUACUUCCAGCUGAGCCGCCACACGGUCAUCAAGAUGGGCAGUGAGAACGAGGCCCUGGAUCUGUCCUGAAGUCGGUGCCCUGGCUGAAGGCGGGCCAAGCCAGUCCCCCCGUCUGCCAGGAAGAUGCGGCCCUAGACCUGUCGCUGGCGGCCCACCGAAAAGCUGAGCCUCCCGUGGAGACCCUGUUCGACGGCAGCGGGUCAGUGGACCGCCCGGCUCACGGGGCGCUGGAGAAACUUCCCGGGGGCGGGGACGCGCCCUUUGCCCCUGCCACGGCCCCCGGGGCCUCGGCCACGGAGAGCCACGUGGGGGGCAGCAACCCCGCCCAGCCGCCCGGCCAGCCCGGCGGGGACGUCAAGGCCGAAAAUCACCCUGACGUGGUGAGCGAGUCCCAGGCGGCCAAGGUGAUCGUCUCGGUGGAAGACGCCGUGCCCACCGUCUUCUGCGGCAAGAUCAAGGGCCUCUCGGGGGUGUCCACCAAAAACUUCUCCUUCAAAAGAGAAGACUCCGUGCUUCAGGGCUACGACAUCAACAGCCAAGGAGAAGAGCCCGUGGGCAGCACGGAGCCCCUUAGGAAACCCGUCAAAAACCGGAGCAUAAAGUUAAAGAAAGUGAACUCCCAGGAAAUACACAUGCUCCCGAUCAAAAAACAACGGCUGGCCACCUUUUUUCCAAGAAAGUAAAUAAUGGCUUUUUAAAAUUUUUAUGAUUAUAAUAUGGGGAAAGGUGCAUUGGUUUUAUAAAAAGGCAUUUAAGACAAAUUAUCUUUGUUAAUUAUUUGGGGGAGUAGUUGGGAAGUGGGAAGGCGAAUUGGCUCUAGAGGCCCUGUAAGCUAGGAUCGUUUUCUUUUUUAAUUUUUGACUUUUCACAAAUGAGUAAAUAAGAGCAACCUAUUUUUCAAGCAGAUUGCACAUUUUUUGCAGCUUUAAUGGAAUAUUGGGUGAAUCAGAGGGGUAAAAAAAAGCUAUUUUCAUUGCCACAAAGUGCUUUGAUGAUGUAAUACCUAAUAAAGGGUAGGAUGAAUAUUUCA